rnacentral:misc_RNA from 1 species
AACCAUAGAAACCUGCGGAGUACCUGCGGAGGGAUCAUUAUAGUAUAUGGAAUCUCCAUUCUAUAAACCCACUCUGCGUAUCUUGUAACUGUUGCUUCCAUGGGACUUGGUUCCGCCACACCGGCUUCACGGCUGGUGAGCGCCCAUGGAAGGAGAAACAAAACUCUUCUUUGAAAUGUAGUCAGUCAGAACAAGUUUUUAUAAACGUUAAAACUUUUAACAAUGGAUCUCAGAUCGGAA